GCCCGGGUGGCGGAACAGGUAGACGCUGGGGACUUAAAAUCCCCUGGCCGCAAGGCCGUGCCGGUUCGACUCCGGCCCUGGGCACCA
rnacentral:tRNA from 1 species